UGCCUUAUGAUAUUAUAUAAGGUUAAACCUGCUCACUGAAAAUUUAAAGAGCCGCAGUACCUUGACUGUGCUAAGGUAGCAUAAUAAAUUGACUUUUAAUUGGGGCCUUGAAUGAAAGGAUAAUUGGGUAAUUUCUGUCUUAAUUUAAUUUAAUUUAACUUACUUAAUAGGUGAAAAUUCCUUUAUAUAAAAAAUAGACGAGAAGACCCUAGGAGUUUGAAAUGUUUUGUUGGGGCGACAAUGUAACAUAUAACUUACAUUUAUAAUUAAGAUUAAACGAGUUUAACUAAUUAAAAUUAAACUACCCUAGGGAUAACAGCAUAAUUAUAAUAUUAGUUUGUGACCUCGAUGUUGGACUAGGAACUUUUAAAGCUAACAGCGUUAAUUGGCAGUUCUGUUCGAACUUUACUACCUACA
rnacentral:rRNA from 1 species